UACAGAGGGGGCAAGCGUUGUUCGGAAUUACUGGGCGUAAAGGGCGCGUAGGCGGUCUCGUAAGUCCCGCGUGAAAUCCCCCAGCUCAACUGGGGAAUGGCGCGGGAAACUGUGAGGCUUGAGUUCGGGAGAGGGAAGCGGAAUUCCGGGUGUAGCGGUGAAAUGCGUAGAUAUCCGGAGGAACACCGGUGGCGAAGGCGGCUUCCUGGACCGACACUGACGCUGAGGCGCGAAAGCUAGGGAGCAAGCAAGGG
rnacentral:rRNA from 1 species